rnacentral:lncRNA from 1 species
UUCAAAAAUCAAUCCCAGAUUUUAAGCAGAAUAAUUGAUUAUCCAAAUCGUAUAAUCGAUUAUCUGACAACGUUCAAAAAAUCAUAUUCAGAUUUUACUUUACAUAAUCGAUUAUCAGAUUGUGUAUAAUCGAUUACCAGACAACGUUCAAAAAAUCAUAUGCAGAUUUUACUUAGCAUAAUCGAUUAUCAGAUUGUGUAUAAUCGAUUAUCUUUCAGAGUUUAAAAAUACUUUGGCANN